rnacentral:rRNA from 1 species
UACGGGGGGGGCAAGCGUUGUUCGGAAUUACUGGGCGUAAAGGGCUCGUAGGCGGCCAACUAAGUCAGACGUGAAAUCCCUCGGCUUAACCGGGGAACUGCGUCUGAUACUGGAUGGCUUGAGUGUGGGAGAGGGAUGCGGAAUUCCAGGUGUAGCGGUGAAAUGCGUAGAUAUCUGGAGGAACACCGGCGGCGAAGGCGGCAUCCUGGACCAUUACUGACGCUGAGUGAGCGAAAGCCAGGGGAGCAAACGGG